AGGCCGUCACUCUCUCUUAGCUCAAUCACCGUCUCCGCCACCACAAAGUACUCCUCCACCGCCGCAACCGCCACAAGACUCCAUCCCGUCAGAUCUUUCUCUCUUUCCUUGCUCACUUACCUGAAUCAGAUGUUACCUAGGUGGUGGUGGUUGGUACAGAUCGGUGCCGGUGGUGGUGUUUGGUAGAGUUGGGCGAUAGAGUUGGUGGUGGUGGUGUUGGGUGAAGGCCGGUUGUGGUGGUGGGGUUGAUGGCGAUGGUGGGUGAAGGGCGACGGUGGGUUAAGGGUGGUUGUGGUGGUGAGGUUAGGGGCGUUGGUUUGGUUAAGAGGGGUGGAUGAGGUGGUGGGUUAAGGGCGGUUAUUGUGGUGGUGUUAAGGGCUAUUUGUCGGUGAAUGGUGGUCGGUGAAAAUUUGUAUCUUUACUGUUGGUCUUUCCUUAAUCAAAAAAAGAGAUCAUGUGUAGAUAUCUAGGGGUUUUGGUGUUUUUUUUUUUUUUUUUUUUUGGCUCUUUUUAAGGAAGCAUUAAAUACCAUUUUUGGUAUAGUUUAUCAAACCCUUUAAAUUAAAAGCUCUAAUCAUUAUCAAAUUAAGAGAACCCAUAUUUAAAUUUGGGAUUUAUAAGGGUUAAUUCACUCAAAUUUGGGUGGUGGGGGUGGCCCGUCGGUGUUUGCGGUGCUGGUGUUGGAGGCAGUGGCUGUGCGAGCGGCGAUGAAUCUGGUGCUUUUGAAUGUUUUUGAAUCUGUUGAAUGUUUUGAAUGUUUUGAAUUUGGGUGCUUUUGAAUAUUUUGAAUCUGGUACUUUUUGAAUGUUUGAAUCUAUUGAAUCCGGUGCUUUUGAAUGUU
rnacentral:lncRNA from 1 species